rnacentral:rRNA from 1 species
UACGAAGGGGGCUAGCGUUGUUCGGAUUUACUGGGCGUAAAGCGCACGUAGGCGGACUAUUAAGUCAGGGGUGAAAUCCCGGGGCUCAACCCCGGAACUGCCUUUGAUACUGGUAGUCUUGAGUUCGAGAGAGGUGAGUGGAAUUCCGAGUGUAGAGGUGAAAUUCGUAGAUAUUCGGAGGAACACCAGUGGCGUAGGCGGCUCACUGGCUCGAUACUGACGCUGAGGUGCGAAAGCGUGGGGAGCAAACAGG